UACGUAGGGUGCGAGCGUUGUCCGGAAUUAUUGGGAGUAAAGAGCUCGUAGGCGGUCUGUCGCGUCGAAUGUGAAAACCCGGGGCUCAACUCCGGGCUUGCAUUCGAUACGGGCAGGCUAGAGUUCGGUAGGGGAGUCUGGAAUUCCUGGUGUAGCGGUGAAAUGCGCAGAUAUCAGGAGGAACACCGGUGGCGAAGGCGGGUCUCUGGGCCGAUACUGACGCUGAGGAGCGAAAGCGUGGGGAGCGAACAGG
rnacentral:rRNA from 1 species